rnacentral:rRNA from 1 species
UAUCUCUCCACAGUGCCACUCAGCCAUGGCCUGGCUCCUUCAACGAUGACCGGAGCCGCUGGGGGCUGUAAGGACAUCAUCCUCAUCAACUGCGGCUUCCUCCACCAUCAACUUUUACGCUGCUGUCAACGCUGCUACUUCCAUCAGGAAAGAACAUUUUACUCGAGUAGCUCCCAGUGGUAUGAUAGAGACAGACACUGAGAGAAGAGCUGGAUGAUCUUCAGAAACCUAUUAUAUUGCCCAUCACAUAGGCCGUUUACACUGCUGUUAUGGCAACAUCGCCUGUUCUAAAUUUUUAGCGUCUUCAAUCAGUUCACAAGGUAGCAGCCUCUAUCCCGUUGAUCCUUCAGAUCCUCAGAUCCACACAACGAAGUUGACAUUAGCUGAAGACGAGUACCGUGAUGGGCAAAGAUGAUAUUCUUGGUGGUCAUAUGGAAGCGAUCGAUUAUGAGGCUGCAUUGCUUGUCCAAAGAGAGCACGUGGUGCAGGUGCCUUUCUCUCUUGAGGACCCGGAUUACAAGGGUCUUGAGCUAGAUCUGAUAGUGUUGUGCGAGAAGCAUGGGAAGCCAUCAGAGAGGCUUGUUGCAUUUGAAGGAACAAUGACUGGGAGAAGGUUCUUAGCAUGUGCAGAGCCGGAAGGUCAGAACUGUGGGUUUGUUCAGUGGGUUGAUGAGCAGUGGCCCCCAACAAUGGAGAAUGCAUUGCUGAAGCUUUGGUCAGUGGUUGAAGAGAGCAAGUCUGCUAGGGUGAAUGAUAAUCUUAAAAGUGCUUUAACUAUUCACCAUUUGACAGAAGAAAAGAAGAAGCUGGAUGCAGAUUAUGACAAGUUAGUGAAAGAUGUGCAUCAACUUGUGAACUUUCAGCAGGAUAGGGUUGUGGAUUUCAGUUAUCUGCAGUCAGCUGUCACAUAUCAGCACCAAUGCAGAGCUGAAUUGGUGGCUGGUAUGAAGGCAGAAAUGGCAAAGAAAGAUGCAGCUACAGAGAAGUUUCAACAGAAGUAUGAAAUCCUGUGCAACCUGACAAGUGCUCAAGCAAUUGCCAUCCAAAACCUCAAGUUGAAGAAUAUGAAAGAGAAGGAAUUGAUGAGUGAGGCUAUGAUGAAUUUGGAGUUGAAGAAUGCAGAGUUCACAAGUUUGAGGAGAAGCUCACCCAAGAGAAGCUAGAGUUGAAGUUCCAGGUUGCUGAUCUGCUGAAGCUCAAGGAAAACCAUAAUGAAGAGAAGCAGAUGCAAGAGUUUAAGGUAACUGAGCUCAUGAAGGCAGAGGAGAAGCUGAAGGAGAAGAUCAAGG